rnacentral:lncRNA from 1 species
UGUAACAUAAUGUAGAAUGGCAUAACACUUGAAAACAGUCUGUAACUGUAACACAAUGUAGAAUGGCAUAUUACUUGAAACCAGUCUGUAACUGUAACAAUGUAGAAUAGCAUAACACUUGAAAACAGUCUGUAACUGUAACACAAUGUAGAAUGGCAUAACACUUGAAAACAGUCUGUAACUGUUACAAUGUAUAAUGGCAUAACACUUGAAAACAGUCUGUAACUGUAACAAUAUAGAAUGGCAUAACACUUGAAAACAAUCCAAGUGAUUGUCAUGACAGAACUGGAGGGAAGUGUUCAGAUGCUUAAUGUUUCAUCAGGACCAUAAAUUCACUUAGUACGAACCCACAGGGUAUAGUGAAUAUAGAGAAGAGCCUAGGGCCUGAAAAAAGAUACUGUUAUGACCUAGAGGCAUGAGAAUGACAAUGAGUGUGGCGGUGUGUGUUGGCCUACAGAUGAGAUGGGGCUGUGUUUGUUGGCCUACUGAUGAGGAGAUGGGGCGGUGUGUGUUGGCCUACUGAUGAGGUGGAGCUGUGUGUGUGUUGGCCUACUGAUGAGGAGAUGGGGCGGUGUGUGUUGGCCUACAGAUGAGGAGGUGGAGCUGUGUGUGUUGGCCUACUGAUGAGGAGGUGGAGCUGUGUGUGUUGGCCUACAGAUGAGGAGGUGGAGCUGUGUGUGUUGGCCUACAGAUGAGGAGGUGUGUGUUGGCCUACUGAUGAGGAGAUGGGGCGGUGUGUGUUGGCCUAUAGAUGAGGAGGUGGAGCUGUGUGUGUUGGCCUACAGAUGAGGAGGUGUGUGUUGCUCUACAGAUUAGAUGGGGCUGUGUUUGUUGGCCUACUGAUGAGGAGGUGGAGCUGUGUGUGUUGGCCUACAGAUGAGGAGGUGUGUGUUGGCCUACUGAUGAGGAGAUGGGGCUGUGUGUGUUGGCCUACAGAUGAGGAGGUGGAGCUGUGUGUGUUGGCCUACAGAUGAGAUGGGGUUGUGUUUGUUGGCCUACUGAUGAGGAGGUGGGGCGGUGUGUGUUGGCCUACUGAUGAGGAGAUGGGGCGGUGUGUUGGCCUACAGAUGAGAUGGGGCGGUGUGUGUUGGCCUACUGAUGAGGAGGUGUGUGUUGGCCUACUGAUGAGGAGGUGGAGCUGUGUGUGUUGGCCUACAGAUGAGGAGGUGUGUGUUGGCCUACUGAUGAGGAGGUGUGUGUUGGCCUACAGAUGAGGAGGUGGAUCAGUGUGUGUUGGCCUACAGAUGAGGAGGUGUGUGUUGGCCUACAGAUGAGGAGGUGUUGCUGUGUGUGCAGUAAUAAAUUAUGACAAGGGGCAGGCAGCACGAUCACACUAUAUUUACACUUCACAUUCAUUACGCUGUAAACGCUAGCAUUUCAGUUCAUGAUCUAUUUAUGUUGAGAUACUCAAGCUCCUAAGCAGUGGGAUCCACUGGAAAAAACGUUGACCACGGUAAAAAAAGAGAAAUGGCAAGCUAAACAUGAAAAGAG